CCGAGGAGCAUGCCUGUUUGAGUGUCAUGA
rnacentral:rRNA from 17 species